AAAUUGAAGAGUUUGAUCAUGGCUCAGAUUGAACGCUGGCGGCAGGCCUAACACAUGCAAGUCGAACGGUAACAGGAAGCAGCUUGCUGCUUUGCUGACGAGUGGCGGACGGGUGAGUAAUGUCUGGGAAACUGCCUGAUGGAGGGGGAUAACUACUGGAAACGGUGGCUAAUACCGCAUAACGUCGCAAGACCAAAGAGGGGGACCUUCGGGCCUCUUGCCAUCAGAUGUGCCCAGAUGGGAUUAGCUUGUUGGUGAGGUAACGGCUCACCAAGGCGACGAUCCCUAGCUGUUCUGAGAGGAUGACCAGCCACACUGGAACUGAGACACGGUCCAGACUCCUACGGGAGGCAGCAGUGGGGAAUAUUGCACAAUGGGCGCAAGCCUGAUGCAGCCAUGCCGCGUGUAUGAAGAAGGCCUUCGGGUUGUAAAGUACUUUCAGCGGGGAGGAAGGUGUUGUGGUUAAUAACC
rnacentral:rRNA from 1 species